rnacentral:rRNA from 1 species
UACAGAGGGUGCAAGCGUUGUUCGGAAUUAUUGGGCGUAAAGGGCGCGUAGGCGGUGCGGUAAGUCUGCGGUGAAAGCCCCGGGCUCAACCUGGGAAUGGCGAUGGAUACUGGCGGGCUAGAGUGCGGUAGAGGAGAGUGGAAUUCCCGGUGUAGCAGUGAAAUGCGUAGAGAUCGGGAGGAACAUCAGUUGCGAAGGCGGCUCUCUGGACCAGCACUGACACUGAGGCACGAAAGCGUGGGGAGCAAACAGG